AGAAUCAACGCUGGCGGCGUGCCUAACACAUGCAAGUCGAACGAGAAAGUGGAGCAAUCCAUGAGUAAAGUGGCGACCGGGUGAGUAACACGUGACUAACCUACCUUCGAGUGGGGGAUAACCUCGGGAAACCGGGGCUAAUACCGCAUAACAUCUUUGAAGUGGAAAUUUCGGAGAUCAAAGGAGCAAUUCGCUGGAAGAGGGGGUCGCGGCUGAUUAGCUAGUUGGCGGGUAACGCCCACAAGGCUUAGAUCGGUAGCCGGCCUGAGAGGGCGCACGGCCACACUGGAACUGAAACACGGUCCAGACUCCUACGGAGGCAGCAGUGGGGAAUUUUGCGCAAUGGGGGAAACCCUGACGCAGCAACGCCGCGUGGAGGAUGAAGUCCCUUGGGACGUAAACUCCUUUCGACCCGGACGAUAAUGACGGUACGGGUGGAAGAAGCCCCGGCUAACUUCGCGCCAGCAGCCGC
rnacentral:rRNA from 1 species